CAUGUCUUUUUGAUUAAAAUAUAAAGUCUAGUCUGCUCAAUGAAUAAAAAUUUAAAUAGCUGCAGUAUUUUGACUGUACAAAGGUAGCAUAAUAAAUAGUUUUUUAAUUGAAAGCUGGAAUGAAGGAUUGGACGAGAAAAUUACUGUCUCAAUUUAAUUAAUAUUGAAUUUAACUUUUUAGUUAAAAGGCUAAAAUAAUUUUAAAAGACGAGAAGACCCUAUAGAGUUUUAUAUUUAAUAUUUUUAAAAUUAUUUAGAAUUAACAAGAUUUAAAUUAAUAUUAAUUAUUUGGUUGGGGUGAUUAAAAAAUUUAUAAAACUUUUUUAUUUAUUAAUUAUUUAUAUAUAAAUUAAUUUUCUAUGGAUUUUUAAGUUUAAAAUAAAUUACCUUAGGGAUAACAGCGUAAUAUAUAUUUAAAGUUCUUAUUUAAAUAUUUGAUUGCGACCUCGAUGUUGGAUUAAAAUUAAUUAU
rnacentral:rRNA from 1 species